rnacentral:rRNA from 1 species
CAGAGGGUGCAAGCGUUGUUCGGAAUUACUGGGCGUAAAGCGCGCGCAGGCGGAUCCUGUAAGUCGGAAGUGAAAUUUCGGGGCUCAACUCCGAAGCUGCUUCUGAUACUGCGGAUCUGGAGAUCGGUAGAGGUCGGUGGAAUUACAGGUGUAGCGGUGGAAUGCGUAGAUAUCUGUAAGAACACCCGUGGCGAAGGCGGCCGACUGGGCCGAAUCUGACGCUGAGGCGCGAAAGCGUGGGGAGCAAACAGGAUUAGAUACCCUGGUAGUCCACGCCGUAAACGAUGGGCACUAGGUGCCGGGGGGAGCGACCCCUUCGGUGCCGCAGCCAACGCGAUAAGUGCCCCGCCUGGGGAGUACGGCCGCAAGGCUG